GUCAGGAUGGGGUGGUGGUUUGAGUGUUGGACUAGGAAUCUGGAGACCAGGGUUCGAAUCCCUGUUCAAUGAUG